rnacentral:lncRNA from 10 species
CCUUGUUAAAAAUACACUUCCUGGCUGGGCGUGGUUUUCAUCCGUAAAAUGAACGGCCCUGCUAGGGGCAGGAAUUUAUUACUUAGCUCUUACUCUUAAAAUCCUUAUCCCUGGGAUACUCAGUGGUCGGCAGAGAGACCUGGAGGAAUAGCUUUUAUACUGGAGGUCUGCAUUAUCCAUGGAAAAUCAGUAAAAGUCCACUUAGGGGGAAUAUGCUUAUGAUGGGAACCAAGCUUAACAGCAUGUUGUGGGGGGAUAAAGUUUCAUCAGGACAAUCACAAAAAAUAAAAUGUGUUUCCUCUUGGAGUUAGCAAACUAUAUCUGCAACUAUGUAAUAAUUCUCAAAUAUUUUUACAUUUCUACAUCUUUUUUUUUUUUUCCAAGACGGAGUCUUGCUCUGUUGUCCAGAUGGUGCAGUGGCACCAUCUCGGCUCAGUGCAACCUCCGCCUCGG